CGAAGAAACCAAGGACGGGGGAACAUGCAGUGCUCUGCAAACAGCACAGCCCAAAUCCUGCCAAUUUUCUUGGAACAUUCCCCUUAAUAAAUCUCCAAAAGAGAGGCUUCUUUGGGUAAAACUAUUAUAUUACUUCCCAGAACGAGAAGAAGAAUUCAUAGUAUUUUGCCAAAGAAUUGCAAGCAGGAAAGGGUGCAGAAUGACAACCAGAUUACUAGGAUCUGAUUGCUAGAACUUGUUUUCCUGCAUUCUGUGACCCCGUAAUGUAAGAAGAGCCAGUGUAAAAAGUCCUCCCACCCCCAACCAAUGCCUACUUGUUUACUGCUCCUUCUUUCUGCACUUGUAACAGAGGUUUGCUAUUCUGUGAUUUCAGGUAUUGAGCCUUCAACUCACCUGUUUUGUGCUCCCAGUUCAAUCCCCAAUGGCAUCUCCAGGAAGGGCUAAGAAAGCCCCCUGCCUGAAACCCUGCAGAGCUGUUAUCAGCCAGUGCUGACAAUACUGACUUAGAUGGACUCGGAUGGUCUGACUCUGUAUAAGGCAGCUUCCUGUUUAAUUCAGCCUUUUAUUCAGAACUAGGAUGGCUAGAAAAGGGACGUGGGUGGCGCUGUGGGUUAAACCACAGAGCCUAAGACUUGCCAAUCAGAAGGUCGGCGGUUCGAAUCCCCGUUACGGGGUAAGCUCCCGUUGCUCGGUCCCAGCUCCUGCCCACCUAGCAGUUCGAAAGCAUGUCAAAGUGCAAGUAGAUAAAUAGGUACCACUCCGGCAGGAAGGUAAAUGGUGUUUCCGUGUGCUGCUCUGGUUCGCCAGAAGCGGCUUAGUCAUGCUGACCACAUAACCUGGAAGCUGUCUGCGGACAAACGCCGGCUCCCUCGGCCUAUAGAGCGAGAUGAGCGCGCAACCCGAGUCGGUCACGACUGGACCUAAUGGUCAGGGGUCCCUUUACCUUUACCUUUAGGAUGGCUAGAAUCUUACUUUGCAUUUAAUGAGAGGACCACAGCUUGGUUGUAAAGCUUCUGUCUUGCACGCCGAAGGUCCAGGUUCAACCACCCCUGACAUCUCCAGGACAGUGCUGACAGUGUCACCCAGGACCAGCCAAUGUGAUGCCCUUUAGAUCUUUUUGGACUCCCAACUCCUGUCAGUCCCAGCCAGGGCCCUAUGUUGGCUUCUCUCUGCCAUAGCCAAUACUGAGAUUGUUGGGCCCCUGAUCUUAAGGCUACUCUCACAGCAUACAUUUAGUGCACUGGGGGUGGCGCUGUGGGUUAAACCACAGAGCCUAGGACUUGCAGAUCAGAAGGUCGGCGGUUCAAAUCCCCGCAACUGCUCCUGCCAACCUAGCAGUUCGAAAGCACGUCAAAGUGCAAGUAGAUAAAUAGGUACCAUUCCGGCGGGAAGGUAAACGGCAUUUCCAUGUGCUGCUCUGGUUCGCCAGAAGCGGCUUAGUCAUGCUGGCCACAUGACACGGAAGCUGUACGCCAGCUCCCUCGGCCAGUAAAGCGAGAUGAGCGCCGCAACCCCAGAGUCUGUCACGACUGGACCUAAUGUUCAGGGGUCCCUUUACCUUUAAUAUCCCUUUAAACAGUCAUGGCUUCCCCAGAGGGAGCUAAAAUUACCAGAGCAGUCUAACAAUCGUUCUUCCCAGGGAACUCUAGGAAUUGUAGCUCUGGCUGGAGACUAGGAGAUCUCUUAAUAAUUUUCAGCACCUUAAUGAGCUAUAGCUCCCAGAAUCCCUUGGGGGAAGCCACAAUUGUGUAUGGUGGAACAGUAGCUGCUGGGGCCCAACUUUGAAUGCAGCAGUAAAAUGCUGCCGUAGCAUCAUCCUGAAGGCUUAGCUUUCACAGCCUAGAUACUUUUAAAGGUUACGCCGAACGAGAGGCAAUAAUAGCCUUGGCCAGCAGAGUGCAAAGAAACCUCAUUUAACUCUAUAGGAUCUGGCUUUCACAUGUGGUAGAGGGCUGUGCUUAUCUGCAUUUUUGGGAAAUCGUAUUGAUAAAAUGGAGGAAACAACCCAGUGCAGGGAUUCUUUGUCAGUUGAUUCUCCUUAAAGUGGAUUGACAGGCCAGCAAACGGGUCUCCUUUUUAACACAGGGAUACGCAAAGCAGAACGAACACAAAGUGGAGUUUGGAAAGUUCCAUCUACCUGUAAAGGUAAUGAAGUAUUAAAUAUUGUUAACUGCAUUUGCCAGUCGCCUCAGGCAAAUCUAUCUAUAAUUCAAAUUGUAGGUAUUCUUCAUAGACACAGCAUAGGCCACCUGAAUGAAGCUCACAGGCAAGUUUGGGAACCCUUGUUCUAACCAACCAUGUUCGUGGCAGCAGUGACUAAGCUCAUACCAUGGCCUGCCCCUGCUUGAACACUGAUAGCACACUGCAAUAUAGAUAUGCAUUCCUUGACAGAUACCUUUUGUGCAGAGAGCUAGAAACUACCUUAAUCCCCUUUAAUAACAAUAAUAAAAUAAUAACACUGCAGGUGUUUCUGUAGCCAGAAAGUCGUUCUUGAAAAGUCCACACAUUAGUCACUGGGGAUGUUGAUAGGAUAAGGCUGUCAGUGCCACCAUCAGAGGCAGCAUUGCCCCUGAAUACCAGUUCCUGGGAAUCACAAGUGGGGAGAGUGUUGCUGCCAGGGCUCAGGUCAUGCUUGGAGCAUCUGGUUGGCCACUGUGAGAACAUGAUGCUGGACUGGAUGGGCUCCUCUUGGCCUGAUUCAGUAGGAUUCUUCCAGCUGGUGUGCGUGUGUAUUAAACAAACAUAUAAAAAGAGAGUCUUCCAUAAGGUUUCCAUGUAGCUUUAUUUAGACAUUGACAAUACCUGGUUAACAUUGGUUGGGUUUGGUUAUUUGAUUUUGAUUUUUCUGUGUGUGUCCUCAGCAUUGCUAAAUUGUGUGCAGGUCUUUUUCCUAUGACUUCAGACGCAGACAGGAAGCUAGCAGUAUAUUUUAUUCUUUCUCUUCACUGCCAGAAACAUCCAAGGAGGGGAGAUUUUCGAACGUGCAUACACACGAACAUUUGUCUGAAACCAACACCAUCCUGGCAUCUCAGUAAAAAGCAAAACAACUGUCUGAAAUAAAUGACGGUACGUUAAGAUUUGCAGUACCUGUUUUGCAAUAGAUCACUAGCUGUUAAAUGGUUU